rnacentral:lncRNA from 1 species
UAUGUAACAAAUAUAAAGUAUUUUUAGAGAUCCUUUAAAGAAUCAUAAAGAAAUAACAUAAAAAUUCAAAAAUAUACUAAAAUAGAAAUCUUAAUUAAAUUCUACUCAAAAUCUAAUCAAAUUCUAGUCAAAUCUUAAUCAAAUCCUAAUCAAAUCCUAAAUAAAUCCUAGUCAAAUCUUAAAAAAUCUUCACCAAAUCUUAAUCAAAUCUUAAACAAACCUUAACCAAAUCCUAAAAAAAUCCUAAACAAAUCCUAACCAAAUCCAAAAUAAAUCCUAGUCAAAUCCUAAACAAACCCUAAUCAAAUCCUAAAUAAAUCUUAAAUAAAUCCUAACCAAAUUCUAAUCAAAUCUUUAUCAAAUCCUAAUAAAAUCCUAACCAAAUCCUAGUCAAAUCCUAACCAAAUCCUAAUUAAAUCCUAAUCAAAUCCUAAAUAAAUCCUAACCAAAUCCUAAAUAAUCUCAAAUAAUUCUUACAGUAGAUUUAAACCUCAAUAACUAAUGAAUGAACCGUUGAUUCUAAUUCUAGUCAAAUCCUAAAUAAACCCUAGUCAAAUCUUAAUCAAAUCUUAACCAAAUCCUAAUCUAAUUUUAAAAAAAAUUUAACCAAAUUCUAAUAAAAUCCUAACCAAAGCCUUAAAAAGCCCUAACCAAAUCCUAAAUAAAUCCUAAUCAAAUCCUAACUUAAUCCUAAACAAAUCUUAUACAAAUCUUAAUCAAAUUCUAAACAAAUCCUUAUCAAAUCCUAAAUAAAUCCUAAUUAAAUCCUAAAUAAAUCCUAAUCAAAUCCUAAACAAAUCCUAACUAAAUCCUAAUAAAAUCUUGAUCAAAUCCUGAUCAAAUCCUAAUCAAAUCCUAAAUAAAUCAUAAAUAAAUCCUAACUAAAUCCUAAUCAAAUCUUGAUCAAAUCUUAAUAAAAUCCUAGCCAAAUCCUAAUCAAAUCUUAAUAAAUCUUAAUCAAAUCUUAACUAAAUUUUAAUCAAAUCUUAACCAAAUCUUAAUCAAAUCCUAAUCAAAUCCUAAACAAAUCCUAACCAAAUCCUAAAUAAUCCCAAGUAAUUCUUAUAGUAGAUUUAAACCUCAAUAACUAAUAAAUGAAUUAUUGAUUUCAACUCCAAUUUUGUACACCUCUUAAAAAUUAAGUUGACAACAAGCUCAAAAUUUUUGAAGAAGAUCGAAGUAACCAAAAAGAAGAUCAAUCCUAAAAUUUUCUUAGAUGUUGGCUAGUCUCUUUUUUUUAAUCUAAAUUUUGAAUUUCCAAUACCAAUAUCUCUUUAUCGAACUAUUCAAUUGAUCUCAAAAUUCUCACAUACAUAAGAAAAUAAGUAAAAUACCCACAUUUGCAA